GGGUCGCUCAGUGGUUAGAGCCUAGAGCUUGUGACCUAAAGGUCCUGAGUUCGAAUCUCGCAAGGGGCA
rnacentral:tRNA from 1 species